GGGGAUGAAAGGAUUUCGACAGGGCAGUUGAGCCUUGGUCAGCGGGUAGAGGAGUUGCACCUCUUUAAAAGUAACACCUUAAAAUUAACUGACAAUAAACCAGUUUUAAAGGCUGCGUAAACGCAACCCGUUCUCUUUAGGUAGGGCCACGGACCUUUUGAGGGCGUCGACUUAGUGGCGAACAUGAACAGGGAAUUGCUCCGCUCCCUGUCAGGUAUUAGGGGCUACCGUAACCGAUAGGCUGUUUGCCGCCGCUCGGUGAGAGGAAUCAUAAUUGACAAACUACACCCGUAGAGCCCUUGGUAAGGCAGUUUUGGACGCGGUUUCGAUUACCGCCAUCUCCACCA
rnacentral:tmRNA from 1 species